rnacentral:rRNA from 1 species
UACGAAGGGGGCUAGCGUUGCUCGGAAUCACUGGGCGUAAAGGGCGCGUAGGCGGCCAUUCAAGUCGGGGGUGAAAGCCCAGGGCUCAACCCUGGAAUUGCCUUCGAUACUGUUUGGCUAGAGACCGGAAGAGGUAAGUGGAACUGCGAGUGUAGAGGUGAAAUUCGUAGAUAUUCGCAAGAACACCAGUGGCGAAGGCGGCUUACUGGUCCGGUUCUGACGCUGAGGCGCGGAAGCGUGGGGAGCAAACAGG